rnacentral:rRNA from 1 species
AUUGAACGCUGGCGGCAGGCCUAACACAUGCAAGUCGAGCGGAUGAAGGGAGCUUGCUCCUGGAUUCAGCGGCGGACGGGUGAGUAAUGCCUAGGAAUCUGCCUGGUAGUGGGGGAUAACGUCCGGAAACGGGCGCUAAUACCGCAUACGUCCUGAGGGAUAAAGUGGGGGAUCUUCGGACCUCACGCUAUCAGAUGAGCCUAGGUCGGAUUAGCUAGUUGGUGGGGUAAAGGCCUACCAAGGCGACGAUCCGUACCUGGUCUGAGAGGAUGAUCAGUCACACUGGAACUGAGACACGGUCCAGACUCCUACGGGAGGCAGCAGUGGGGAAUAUUGGACAAUGGGCGAAAGCCUGAUCCAGCCAUGCCGCGUGUGUGAAGAAGGUCUUCGGAUUGUAAAGCACUUUAAGUUGGGAGGAAGGGCAGUAAGUUAAUACCUUGCUGUUUUGACGUUACCAACAGAAUAAGCACCGGCUAACUUCGUG